rnacentral:rRNA from 1 species
CCCCUAGAUGUUCUGGGCCGCACGCGCGCUACACUGAACAGUUCAACAAGUCUUAACCUUGGCCGAUAGGUCUGGGUAAUCUUUGAACGCUGUUCGUGAUUGGGAUAGACCUUUGCAAUUAUGGGUCUUCAACGAGGAAUUCCUAGUAAACGCAAGUCAUCAGCUUCCAUUGAUUACGUCCCUGCCCUUUGUACACACCGCCCGUCGCACCUACCGAUUGAAUGGUCCGGUGAAAUCUCGGGACGGCGGCUUGGUCGCUUGCGUCCGACUGCUGAAACUUGAUUAAACCAUAUCAUUUAGAGGAAGGUGAAGUCGUAACA